AUCGGUUCUGGCGGCUGGACAAAGGCCCUGGGAAUGUAGCUCCCCCCGGGGAGUGUUAUAGCCCAUGGCGUAAUGCAGCCUGCCGGGACCGAGGACCGCGCUCCGGCUAGGAUGCUGGCGUAAUGGUUGCAAGCGACCCGUCUUGAAACACGGACCAAGGAGUCUAACAUCUAUGCGAGUGUUUGGGCGCAAAACCCAUGCGCGCAAUGAAGGUGAACGGAGGUGAGAACCCUCAAGGGUGCAUCACCGACCGAUCCUGAUGUCCUCGGAUGGAUUUGAGUAAGAGCAUAGCUGUUGGGACCCGAAAGAUUGUGAACUAUGCCUGAAUAGGGUGAAGCCAGAGGAAACUCUGGUGGAGGCUCGCAGCGGUUCUGACGUGCAAAUCGAUCGUCAAAUUUGGGUAUAGGGGCGAAAGACUAAUCGAACAAUCUAGUAGCUGGUUCCUGCCGAAGUUUCCCUCAGGAUAGCAGUGUUGAAUUCAGUUUUAUGAGGUAGAGCGAAUGAUUAGAGGCCUUGGGGCAGCAACUGCCUUAACCUAUUCUCAAACUUCGAAUAUGUAAGAAGUCCUUGUUGCUUAGUUGAACGUGGACAUUUGAAUGUACCAACACUAGUGGGCCAUUUUUGGUAAGCAGAACUGGCGAUGCGGGAUGAACCGAACGCGGAGUUAAGGUGCCGGAAUGUACGCUCAUCAGACACCACAAAAGGUGUUAGUUCAUCUA
rnacentral:rRNA from 1 species